rnacentral:misc_RNA from 1 species
GAUGAAGAACGCAGCGAAAUGCGAUAAGUAGUGUGAAUUGCAGAAUUCAGUGAAUCAUCGAAUCUUUGAACGCACAUUGCGCCCUUUGGUAUUCCUUAGGGCAUGCCUGUUCGAGCGUCAUCUACACCUUCAAGCCCUGCUUGGUGUUGGGUGCCUGUCCCGCCCCGGGCGCGGACUCACCUCAAAUCCAUUGGCGGCCCCACGUCGGCUCCGAGCGCAGCAGAAACGCGAACUCGUGGGCCCGGCGGGGUGGCUCCCAGAAGCACAUCCACCAUUUUGACCUCGGAUCAGGUAGGGAUACCCGCUGAACUUAAGCAUAUCAAUAAGCGGAGGA